AACCCCCCCUCCCGGCGGUUUAUGUUGGUGUAUUUACCAUUGAUGGCCAUUUACCAGCGACACUUUCCGCGAGUAUGCAUACAAAUAUAAUGCAAAAUGCGCAUAGUUGUCUUACACUGCACAUCAUCUUACGGGUCUGGACAUCAUGACACUAGUCUGUUCCUGGUCUGGACACCAUGUCAUUGGUCUAUAACUGGUCUGGACACCCUGUCACUUUUCUGUCACUGGUCUGGAUUAUAGUUUCGGACAGAACCUCCAGGUGACGCUUUGUUGUGAUGCUGUGACUACGUGAACCCAGAAUAGACUUCCUCUUCCUCUGAACGGCUGGUUUGGUUUCCAGCGUGGCAGGUGAGUCGUGGACCACGUGACUGUUGGACCUCAUAUUAGGAGGUUGGAGUAGUAUCCGUUAUGUUUAGUUCCUUUAUUGUUUUAUUGUGUGUAAUGUACGCCAAACACUGAUACAGUUCGGUGUGCACUAAACGUGUCGUCUGUUAACAUCUGAAUCUCCCCUUGGUGAUGACAUCAAGUCGGAGGUAAACAAAGCUGGUGUUUCUGGUCUUGAAGGACGAUAUUGCCCGAGCGGUCGUGAUUAUGAAGAGCAGUGUCUCAGAUGUUGGGUGUGUUGAAGUCUCACUCCCUCUGACCUUUGACUCUGUGGUGUUUCAGACUUCAUUGAAAGAAUGGCGCUAAAGCGUUCUGACAGCUUAAGUCUUCUCAGGUUGGCGCAGGAACAACGACAACAACAUCAGUUGUGUCUGGCAUGAAUGGUAACAAGUCAACACUCGUCUAUAACUAGUCCAUACUCUGAGUCUGAAGCUAGGUAUCUCUCUAGAGUGUUGACUAGUAUUGAUUAGCUAGCUAAUCAUUAUUGAUUAGCUAGCUAAUCAAUACUAGUCAAUACUCCAGCGCUAGAGUAUUGGCUGUCUAGCUAGCUAGCUGUAGCAGUGAGCUCCCCCAUUCUGGCCUUGAUUCGGCUCCGUUCUCCACCCUGGGCGCUAUGCUAGUUAUUCCCAGGACACGAUUCCUCCAUGAAUUAUGGAGCUGUGGGCAGAAUGAGGCUCUAUGGCUCUCAGGAGGCCUCUUAGUGACUCCAUGAGAGUCUUCUUCACACGUCCAGGCCCGAUGUUAAACAGCUCCCCCCUGACCACAUGUCUGGACACGCAUGGUUAACCAUUCACAUGGUUAUGUUAGGGCCCCCACUUCAUCUUGGCCGCAAACAUGCCAAAACGUUUGAAUUCCCAGUGAGUCCAUGUGCUGUGUCUCGUUUCUCUCUGCCGUAGUUCUCUUGAGCCGCACGUUUAACUAUUGAGCCGCCAAUUUUCUCUACCCCUUCUCCAUACUUUUGUCACCCUUGACGACUUUGUGAAACGUAAGAAAUACCUGGAGCUCUGGAGUGGGGCGAGCCUCCUGCAUAAAAACUACAUCUCCCAGGACCUCCACGACCUCCCCUCCGGACCUGCUUUGCGUUUGUGUUUGAAGGUUGCUGCUGCUGUAUCAAUAAACAGGCCUCACCUUCUCAUCUCAACAAACGCGUCAUUCAGAGUGAUCGCCUGUCAAUCGAUCUUCCUAUCACAUAUCCACGCUACGCUAUCAUCCAAUAAUACCACAACGUUGUUUCCAGAGUCGGUUCUUUAAACCGGUGAUGUUGUUUAAAUCGUAGAUGGUAAAUGGACUGCAUUUAUACCGUGCCUUUUCAACCAGUGGCAACUAAAAGCGCUUUACAAUAUUGCUCAACAUUCACCCAUUCAUACAAACAUUCACACACAAGGCGGAGUCAACACUCGCAACCUUCCGGUUAGCAGCCAACCCGCUCUACCUCCUGAGCUACAAGCCGCCCUUUUAAACCUUACGCCUCCAGUGCUGUGGUGGGUAACAGCUCUGCUGUUAGCAGAGGGCGGAUCUUUGGACCUGGAUGUUGCUGAUCACAGCUAGAUGGAGACGCUAUGAGUGACAGCUGAGUGGUGCUGAUGGGCGGACCCCAGAUGUUGAGGAGGGUGGAAGCAGGCCAGUGUAGAUGACCACAGAGAUGGUUCUCAGGUCCUGCUGAACACUCUGGCGCCCGGGGGGGGGCCAGGGGCCUAGCACAGCCCCUCACACGCUCACGCUUCCUUACUCUGUCUGCCUCACUGCUACUCAUUCUGCUUUACUCUACCUCACUCUGUCACACUCUGUCUCUCACUGCCCCACUCUCUCACUCUGUCAAUUCAAUUUGGAUGCCUCACUCUCUCAUUCUUCCUUGCUCUCUAUCGUACUCUCUGUCGGUCUCACUGCUACUCAUUGUCCUUUACUUUACCUCAUCUGUUUCUUCAGAUAAAACUAGAGAGAGCGAGAGCGAGAGACGGGCCAUAACCUGCCAUAACCUCGCUGGAAUAAAGUCGCUACCCGCUUCCUGUUUGGUGACGGACAGAUUCCACCGGACUGAACCACAUCUAUGAGGCAGACCUCGGGAAGGGUUUAAUAAGAGUUUCCCUCCAGCUGCCAGUCUGCACGCUGUCGCUUUGAAUCCUCUCAGACCCUUUAUUCACAAGUGCCACUGCCCGCCCAGUUUGUGUUCACUGUUGGCAGCCAAUUCCGCAUGAUUACAGUCUCCUGCUUCCAGCGACAGAAUUGGUCGACACAAAUAUGCAAAAAGAGGCAAACAUAGAAAAACACCCUGUUCACACACAUUUGAGCUUCUCUAGCAGCAGACUUUAGAUUGGUACCCCUAAUAGUCUGAAUGGUAAGACUACUGAGAGAGCAACGCAAGAGUCUUACUGGGAGCAUGGGUUCCCACUUUCCAGUAGUGGUCUGGGAAACCGGUCACAGAAGUGGUGUAGAACCCCAGUCGUGUUCUGGUGUCCCAGUAGUGGUGUCGGACACCGCACCCCUACUGUCUUCUCUACAGGAUGUCCCGCCUCUUGUCUCGGUCAUGCUGUACAUGGGAGGAGUUAGUUUGUUACCAUGGCGAAACCCCGUCCUGCACGUUGUCUAGCGCGACAUUCGGAAUGUCCCCGUCCUUUAGGUCUCCUGUAGAAACCAAAUGCCCUGGUAACGGUCGCCAGGGUAACCGUAACCGUCCUGCAACAACCUAGCAACUUUAUCCCACCUUGUGUCAUAGUGAUGGUCACCACAGUGAUGGUCACCACAGUGACCGUCACCAUAGUGACGGUCACCAUAGUGACCGUCACCAUAGGGGCCAUCACCCUAGGGACCGUCACCAUAGUGACCUUCACUGUCCCCAUAGUGACGGUCACCAUAGGGACGGUCACCAUAGGGACCGUCACCAUUCUGCAGAGCUCCUAGAAAACACGCGCCACGGCCCAGGUCUCUGGGAAACUCUUGUAAAAGGGGUAUCUCCUCAAGACCAUAUGCAACAUUCCUGCUGGUGUUGUUUCUGUCGUUCGCCCCCAUCUCUUCCUCAUUCUCUACUCUCUCUAUCUGUCUCUGACACUCUGUCUCUCUCUCAUCUUAUCUGUCUCUCUCUCAUCUUAUCUGUCUCUCGCUCUCGCUCUCGCUCUCUCUCGCUCUCCUCGCUCCCAUUGUUUAGUGGAUCUCUCUUGACAGCAUCAAAUAAAAAUUGCAUAAAAUGAUGUUAUGCAUGAAGCCUUGUUUACGCCUCUGAGUCUUGGGGUGGACUCUCUGCAUAACCAAUAAUUACUCUCCUAAUCUAUUAUUACUCUUAAUGCUCUUGCUUCUUGUCUUUUUGUUCUUUAUCUCACUGUCUCUGGGCCCCUGUUGUAGUGCGUCUCAGCUUACUUUGUUACUAUAGUAACACAGUACUACUAAUAUAGUAUAUAGUACUGUUUUAUUAUAGUAGUAUUGUGAACUAUAGUAUUGUGGUACUAGAUGUCCUUUCACACAUGCAGCCCUGCCAGUAAUACAACGAAGAAGCGGUUAUUUUUAUUAAAUUCUGGCAAAUGCGUUCCACCAAUUUACCUGCAUUAGACGUAAUAUUACAGGUUCUGGCAAGACCAUGUGUAAGUGCACUGCCAUAACAAUAACGUCACGAGAGUGCACAAUGUAGGACAUGUUGACUUAUUACACUGGGUUGUCAGCCACAGAACCACAAUCAAAAAGGUCUUAAGGAAAUGUUAUCUGCGCCGUUCUGUAAAGGUAACAUGCAAUUGCCAGGAAAUGACACCAAACAACUAUAAUUCCUUUGCCAGUGCAAUGAGCUCUAUCUUCCAGCCCUGCUUUAAUGUAGGAUGAUGGUUUUUGGCUUGCACUGAAAAGCAUGGGUUUUAAAAAUGGACUUCCUUUCCCUUCGGUCUUCCAUCACCAUAACUCUCGCUCCCUUUCUGCCUUGCUCUGUCUUCCUCUCUCUCUCUCUCUCCUCUCUUCCUCUGCUCUUUGCUGAUGUUGCAGUCCUUGCCUUGACCCGUGUGUGUGUGCACACACACACACACACACACACACACACACACACACACACACACACACACACACACACACACACACACACACACACACACACACACACACCAAUACGUAGUGUGGUUUCCGUUUCAAUCUCUCUGCUACAGUCUGUAGGUCAGUGUGUGUGUCGGUCAGUUUGGUGUGUGUGUCUGUCAGGUUGGUGUGUGUGUCUGUCAGGUUGGUGUGUGUCUGUCCCUACCAGUGUGUGUCCCUGCCCGGCCGGCCUCCCCCACCGGGCAUGCGUGUGGCCGAAUGGCAGCUCUGUAAAUGGGGUAGUAAUACCAGGGCCUGACCUCAUCUGAUGAACAAUAUCUGCAAUGCAUAGAUUGCAGAUUGUGUUCUCUGGCUCGUGUACGCUGGGGCGAAGGUUUGAUUCGGUAAACUGUGGUGUGUUUACAACAAUCAAUAUUGUUUGCUGUGUUUGUGCAGGUUGCCUUUGGCCUUUGAUAAGUAAAAACAGCAAAGGGUGGCCCUUAAACCUU
ensembl:lncRNA